UCCCAGACUCCUACGGGAGGCAGCAGUGAGGAAUAUUGGUCAAUGGGCGGAAGCCUGAACCAGCCAAGUCGCGUGAGGGAAGAAGGCCCUGCGGGUCGCAGACCUCUUUGGACGGGGAGCAAGGCCGCCGACGUGUCGGCGGAAGGAGAGUACCCGUAGAACAAGCAUCGGCUAACUCCGUGCCAGCAGCCGCGGUAAUACGGAGGAUGCGAGCGUUAUCCGGAUUUAUUGGGUUUAAAGGGUGCGCAGGCGGCACGGCGAGCCGGCGGUCAAAUCGCGGGGCUCAACCCCAUCCAGCCGUUGAAACUGGGGAUCUAGAGUGUGCGAGAGGUAUGCGGAAUGCGUGGUGUAGCGGUGAAAUGCAUAGAUAUCACGCAGAACUCCGAUUGCGAAGGCAGCAUACCGGCGCCCAACUGACGCUGAAGCACGAAAGCGUGGGUAUCGAACAGGAUUAGAUACCCCCGUA
rnacentral:rRNA from 1 species